rnacentral:lncRNA from 10 species
CAAAAAGGGUAAGAUUGCAAUGGCAUUUAGGAGGCUACUUCAACACUGGACCCAGGCCCUGGUAAAACACGGAGACUUUCAAGAAACAACACACCUGAACCACAGCAAGUGGUUCUAGAAUCUGGCUAUACUUUUUAAUCAUAUGAAGAAUUCUCAAAGGCUAAAAUAAGAAGUAUACAACUGACCAAGGUGCAAAGUUUGUUUCUUCUCUCAGUCUCCAAAGACUUUGCCUCUGACGUGGUCUACAUCUUCCUUCCCCAGCUCCACAUAGUGACUGCUAAGAAAGAUGAUCUACAUUCCAAAGGACUGGAUACCAGAUGCCCUGCAAAAAAAGUCUAUGUUUGUUGGGCAUUGAGAACACAUG